UACAGAGGGUGCAAGCGUUGUUCGGAAUUAUUGGGCGUAAAGGGCGCGUAGGCGGUGCGGUAAGUCUGCAGUGAAAUCUCUGGGCUCAACUCAGAGUCUGCUGUAGAAACUGCCGUGCUUGAGUGUGGGAGAGGUGAGUGGAAUUCCCGGUGUAGCGGUGAAAUGCGUAGAUAGUCGGGAGGAACACCGGUGGCGAAGGCGGCGAUCUGGGUCGAUACUGACGCGUGAGGUGCGAAAGCGUGGGGAGCAAACAGG
rnacentral:rRNA from 1 species